rnacentral:rRNA from 1 species
UACGAGGGGGGCAAGCGUUGUUCGGAUUUAUUGGGCGUAAAGGGUGCGUAGGCGGUUUGGCAAGGCUUGUGUGAAAUCUUUGGGCUCAACCCAAAGCCUGCACGAGAAACUGCCGGGCUUGAGUAUGGGAGAGGUGAGUGGAAUUUCCGGUGUAGCGGUGAAAUGCGUAGAUAUCGGAAGGAACACCUGUGGCGAAAGCGGCUCACUGGACCAUAACUGACGCUGAGGCACGAAAGCUAGGGGAGUAAACAGG